rnacentral:lncRNA from 1 species
AGUGGGCACCCGAUCCAGGAAAUAUUACCUACUACUAGCACAGAGUUGUUAGCAACUAUGACCUGCUACUACAGUAUGCAUCGGAGGCAGAAAAUUUAUUCAAGCUCUGAAGUCCCAAACAACUGAAAAUGCUCCAAAACACCAUCACGUGACCCUGGUAUUCUCAAAGUGCUGGUGAAAUAGCAGACACUACAUCUGUCUAUGAGCAAUGGACAGAACUGAGAAUACCAUAUCAUGAACCGUAGUGAACACUGCUCGCAACAUCCUGUUUUAGUAAGUAUAAUUGAAUCCCCAAUUAUAAUGUCAUUGUACAUACAAAAAAUGACAUAGUGUUGUUUUUAAAUAGUGAUCUGUUUGGCAGUGUUUUAUAUAUUGUAAAUUUUUCUUUUCACUUUGUCUACUGGCCUGCAUUUGUCCUUGUCAUUUUCCUGUUAUUUCUGAUACAUUCCAAAAUAAGAUUUGUCUGUACAGUACCAGCACACUUUAAUAAGGACUAAGAGCAAAUGUGCCUAUUUCUCAGUGUUUUAGACAAUUUGUGUUGUACCCAAAUAGAGGGAAUAUUGUUACUGUAGUUCUUGUCAUUGUCUUGGUGGCAAGUGCCACAUGAUCAUGGGCACUACUUCAGCAUGUUUAGUUAUACACAUUUACCAGUGAAGAUCAGGGUCAGAAUAGGUCUUCAGCAAACCAUGCUUGCUUUAAGAGGCGACUAUCCUUGUCAUAAGAGGCGACUAACGUGAUUGAGGGGUCAGGCUCAGAGACCAUGUUGAUGAAUGUCAUCGUAUCCCAUUUGCAUGGAUUGAUGCUCACGAUGUCAAUUACUGGAUUGUCAGGUCCAGAUUUGAUUAUUUACAGGCAGCUGUCAAAGCACGAAUAUUGCUUAGUACAGCAUUAAACAAACAAACAAAGUUAUACAGUUCAUUUUUUUAAAUAAUCUUAUACUCUAGUAUUAUAAUGUGCUAUUUUUAUUGAUUAUUAUGAAGCCGAAUACGGACUGUUUGUAUCAGUUUGUAAGAGAGACAAACCAAGGUUCCCACAACUAUCUGCACAUGCUUUGUCGUAACAUAAUUAAUAUGGUAUCUCCAGGUUAUGUAUGUUUGUAAAAUGUGCUAGAAAGUGUCCACUUUAGUUGUAAAAUCAUCUUCCUCACAACAGAGCUAAUGUGCACUACCUUGUUGUGGUAUUUUUUGUUGAACUCGUCUCUGUCUUUCUCAAGUUAUGUUUGUGCAAGGUGCCUACCUGGUGUAUUGAUAAUAUUACCUGACAAGAGUCAAGUUUGCUCAUCAUAUUCUGAAAGAAGUGUCUCCAAUCUAAUAGAAAUGGGAAAAGUAAUACAAGCGAGUCACCAUCAUUCUAACCGGUGCUAGGGAUGUCAGCAUAAAGUAUAUGUUUUUUUAUUAAUAUUAUAAAUAUUAAAACUCUUUGCACCUGGAUUGGAAGAAUUGAACAUUAUAAGAAAACUGCUAUGUUCCUUUUCAGCUGACAGACUGUUUGUGGAAGAUGUAAGGUCAAGUGCUAGGGCCCCCUGUUUAGUUUAGACCUACAUUGUAAAUGUUGUGCACUGGACCAUGGAGCCUGGUCACUACAGAGUUUACCCAAGCCUCUUAAAACUGGGGACAAAUUCAGUUUCUAAUCUUAAAAAUAUCAUCUUGAUUCUCUAAUCAUACUGUUAAAAUUAUGUUUUACGUACUUAUCUAAUCUCUGUGGAAUUCCUAAUCCAAUUAAAUAGUAAUGUCCAAUAUUUUUAAAUAUAUUUGCAGAUAACAAAUUGCUAUAGACUAAUAAGGCAACUGCUAAAUUAUAUUCUGACUCUUUACUGGACUCACCAGACUCUGCACUGUAUACUACUGAACACAAUGAAGUAUCAACGGAAUUCAAGUAACAAGCGGUAGCCUGUUGUCUGGUACUUUAAAGUAUACUAUAAUGCAUGUACUAAUUCUUUAUACUGUAAACACAUAACAUGUUUUGCUUGAGCAAUUCUUCCUGAAAAGACCCCAAAUUUGAAACGCAAGUCUAGUAACAUUGUGCUUGAUGUAGUAAGUCCAAUUAAUAAUAGUCAAUAUGACAACACUAAAAUCCUGUUCGGGCUAGUUGACCCAUCAUUUAGGUCACAGACUGCUCAUGUAAUUCAAUAUAUGGUGACAAUGUUGCACGAGGUUUUGUUGUGUGUAUUUCAAUAACUUGCACAUUUAUGAACUUUAACCUUAAUGUAAUCCUUGAAUCCAGUGAUGCUUUAUUUUUACAUUUCUUUAAUAACCUACAAUUGUUAUGAAGCUGUCAUUUUUUGUGUGGUUCCAGGAAUAAAGUCACCAGAAAUGUAUUCAAAAUUUUUAUCUGAGUUUGAGCAUGACCAACAUGGCAGAUAUGUUUAAAAUGUUGUUUUCUUCCACUACUCAGACAUGUAAGUUAUUGUACGGUAAGUCAUCUACAGUGUAAAAACAUGUUGAUUCUUUUGUUUGCAUAUUUAGCUAUUCCAGAACUGUUAGAUGAUAUUAAAUUGCUGUAGAAGGUAUUUAUUUCCAUCUAUAAUAUCAUUAUGGUAUACCAGUGUGUAUGACAAUUGUUUUGAAAUUCAUCAAUAUCUUCAAAUAUGAUCUAUUGUAUCCAGUGAAUGACAUGUAAGAAAGAAGGAAGUUAGGCAGCACCCAAUCAGAGAGCGUACCAUUAGACACAUGUGAUCAAAAGGGUUCCAAUUCAACACACUGCCCUUACGUAUGAUGGUCACUGUAAA